rnacentral:tRNA from 1 species
GGGAAUGUGGCUUGGUGGUAGAGUGCUUGCCUUGCAUGCAUGAAGCCCUGAGUUCAAGUCCUCAGCACCA